GAUUAAGAACGCAGCGAAAUGCGAUAAGUAAUGUGAAUUGCAGAAUUCAGUGAAUCAUCGAAUCUUUGAACGCACAUUGCGCCCGCCAGCACUCUGGCGGGCAUGCCUGUUCGAGCGUCAUUUCAACCAUCAAGCCCCCAGGGGCUUGUGCUGGGGCCCUGCGGCUGCCCGCAGGCCCUGAAAACCAGUGGCGGGCUCGCUAGUCACACCGAGCGCAGUAGCACAUCUCGCUCAGGGCGUGCGGCGGGCUCCUGCCGUGAAACCCCCCACUGUAACCCCAAAGGUUGACCUCGGAUCAGGUAGGAAUACCCGCUGAACUUAAGCAUAUCAAUAAGCGGAGGA
rnacentral:misc_RNA from 1 species